CACAGGUUGUGCAAUUAUGACUCUCUAGUCUCAGGACGUUUUCAUUAACCAAAGGUAGCAAGGGAGCUGGGAUGCUGAGCAGGACCACACAUGACUUGCCGCAGAGGGCAUGCAAAUUUGGGCCAGAGCUGACAUGGGGAUUGAGGGUCUCUCCACUAGAAGGCCUCUUUCUUCAUCCAUUGUACACACAUAGCACCCUACCUCUUCUCCCAUUAAAACAGAACAACUUAUUUAAAGACUAUGGACUUCCUGAAAUAUUUAUGAAUAAGAUGCUAUGUCUGUGAAUUAAUUUCCAAUAACCGGCUCAGAGGGUGGGAUGGCUGGGAACAUGAAUGGAAUGGAGACUGGCCAUUUUGUUAAUAAUUGUUAAACCUCGGUGAUUGGGAACAUGGAAGUUCAUUAUACUAUUCUGCUUCCUUCUGUAAUAGACAUUUUUCAUAAUUUUAUUUUUCUUCACUAAAGAGUACAGGCUUGAAGGAGUGUCAAACUAUGAGCUUGCCUGGGGCGACCACAAGUCUUGCUUCAGCCAUGGAUAAAAGAAAAGGGAUUUGAUGCCACCAAGAGGAAUAAAAGAUCUGGAAUGGAAAGGGAGAAUGAGUGGGUGCUGGGGACCACCCACCGUUAGGGGCAGGAGGAAGACCUGCGGGCAGAUGACAGAUGGUUCCUCACUGUGUGAGCCAGUCAGGCUGAGCAUGGGGCGGACGGACGCAGGGAUCGCGUGGAAGGAGAAGUCACUGCUUCCUGGAAAAUCAGGCCGCCGGGGCCCAAGAAACCACAUUAGGCCUUGAGAGGCAACUUUGGGGCACUUGAGUAUCGCUUUCCUAUGCUGUCGCCAUCGACUCCACAGGAACUGAAUGUGUGUCCCCCCCAAACUCAUAGGUGGACAUCCUAGCGCCCAGUGUGCUGGUGUUAGGAGCAGGGGCCUCUGGGAGGUGAUAAGGUCCUGAGGGAGAGUCCUCAUCACGCAUGGGAUUAGUGCCCUUACAGAGGAGACCCCAGAGAGCUCCGUCCCCCCCUCUGCCACGUGAGGGCACUGCAAAAAGACAACCGUCUAGGAACCAGGAAGAGGACCAGCACCAGACACGGAGUCUGCCAGUGCUUUGAUCUUGGACUUCCCAGCCUCCAGAACGGAGAGCCAGCCCGAGUAAGAAGGCAAGCCAGGGCCAAGAGUUUGUCAAAACUCUUCAACUCAAACUGGCCUAAGCAAAAAGGUAUGAGAAUGAGAAAUCCAGGAUGUGGACUUCAGGCACAGCUGGAUCCAGGGACUCAGCAAUGGCAUCUGACUUCUGUUGUUCUUCAACCCUCGGCUUCAGUUUCUGCAGGUCUGGAAUUCAGGGGCAGCUUGGCUGAGCAGUUCUGAUACAAGGUCUCUCGUGAGCUUGCAGUCAAGAGCUGCAGCC